rnacentral:rRNA from 1 species
UGUGUAGGUGGUUGAAUCAGUUCACUGUGAAAGUUCCGGGCUUAACCUGGAAAGGCCGGUGGAUACUGUUUGACUAGAGGACAGGAGAGGGCAGAGGAAUUUCCGGUGUAGCGGUGAAAUGCGUAGAUAUCGGAAGGAACACCAGUAGCGAAGGCGUCUGUCUGGCCUGGCCCUGACACUGAGACACGAAGGCGUGGGUAGCGAACG